rnacentral:rRNA from 1 species
UAAGGAAUAUUGGUCAAUGGACGCAAGUCUGAACCAGCCAUGCCGCGUGAAGGAUGAAGGUCCUCUGGAUUGUAAACUUCUUUUAUCUGGGACGAAAACGGGAUUUUUAUCUCAAUUGACGGUACCAGAGGAAUAAGCACCGGCUAACUCCGUGCCAGCAGCCGCGGUAAUACGGAGGGUGCGAGCGUUAUCCGGAUUUACUGGGUUUAAAGGGUGCGUAGGUGGGCUUAUAAGUCAGUGGUGAAAUCUCCGAGCUUAACUUGGAAACUGCCGUUGAUACUAUAGGUCUUGAAUUAUCUGGAGGUAAGCGGAAUGUGUCAUGUAGCGGUGAAAUGCUUAGAUAUGACAUAGAACACCAAUUGCGAAGGCAGCUUACUACAUAUAAAUUGACGCUGAGGCACGAAAGCGUGGGGAUCAAACA